UCUCAGUUUCCUGAUGUGAGAAAUGGAGAUGAUGAUAAUCCCACUUCUUAGAUGAUUGUAAAGAUAAAUGAUAUUUAACGUUAAUGAAACACGUAGAGCCCUGUCUGACAUGUAGUGGGUGUUAGUGGUGGUUGAUUAAAUAAAGAGGUAAAUACAUACAUUGGUAUUGAAGACUUGACGGUAGUGUGUGGUGAAAUUUGUGAAGCUAAAAGCCUUCCAGCCAACUUCAUUUCUUCUCCAGUGUUCAGGUGCUGUUGACCACAUGUGUAGAACUGUUGAAUUAGAAAUAAUGUUCGCAUAUCGACUGCUACUUGCUAAGAGACUCUGAAGUGCCAUUGAAAUAAUCAGAAAAUACUUUUCAGUAGCAUAGUAUAAUUUUAUUUAAAAUGUAUUGGUAGUCUUGAUUAUUUAGUAUUUGUUGGUAAACGUUUUAGCAAACUUGCCUACUUAAAACAAAGUAAGUUAACUGUAGAGUAAUUCAGACACAGCCAAAGGACAGAGAAGUAAUAUAACUAGAGCUUUCCUUUUCUUGACUCUCUAGGGGAUAGUUUUUGUAAUUUCUCUGUUCUUCUUUGCCUCAGUUUUCGAUGCCCCCCUGUGUCUGCAGCCAUCUAAACAUUGUAGGGCAAGUUUGGGUUUGGAAUUGCAGAGAGUACAGUGGUACCCAGCCCAGAGUGCACAUCAGCAGAGCCUGUGGGGCUAUUUAAAGAAAACAGAGAUGUUCACGUCCUCCUCUACACUCACUGAGUCAGAGUCUUCUGGGAUGGGCCCGGGGCUCUAAAGACCACGUAUAUUUGUCAUCUGGUUGCAUUUCAUGAAAGCCUUUUUAGCACCGGGCUUUCCUUUAUCUGAACAACAUGCAAGAAGAUUGGGAGAAUCCAUAAGUUAACGUUUGAGGACAUUUUGCAGGGCUCUGUCCUUCCAAGUUCUGUGAUACCGUGAUGUGCAUCUUCACUGUAGUGUGUUAAACCCUUAAACUUUGUCAGAAAGUCAUGUGAUUAAUAACGUAGAGAUUCCUUGCGUGAAUCGUGGGCAGAUCACUUUGUGCCUCAGUCCUGUGUUUGGAAUGGGGAUAAAAAUGGUAGCCCACCUUUGGGAUGUAAGGAUUAAAUGAGCAAUAGAUCCAAGGCAGUUAGCACCGGGUCUGACACAGAGUGAAGCCUUCCAUAAAUAAUUCUUACUUCUUUUGCUUUCCCUCCAUUAUUUAUUUAUUUAAAUACAGAUUUUAUUUACUUCUUUAUCUUAGAGAGAGAGAGAGAGAGAGUGCAUGCCCCUGGCGUGGGGCCAGAAGAGGAGGGAAAGGGGGGGGGAAAGAAUCUCCAGCAGAAUCCACACUGAGUGUGGAACCCAACUUGGAGCUCAGUCUCGGCACCCUCAGAUCAUGACCUGAUGUGAAAUCAGGAGUCGGACGCUGAACCAACUGGGCCACCGAGGCGCCCCUUGAUUUCCCUCCAUUCUGAAUAUUAUUUGGUUCCAGCUAUGUCCUAGCUGUGGGUUAGGCUGGUUCCUGCUGCCCUAGGUUACAGCCAUAAAGCCCCUAAAAUCGCACUAAGAAAGCCAGUUAGCCUCCCAGGACACCUAGGAUUCCCUCCAGGAAAGGGAACCAUCCCUUCCUCCCGUGACGGUGGUCAGCAUCCUCCACAAAGGCCACUGGAAGCACAGCUGUCGUUAAACACAGUGGCUUCGUUACUCAUCCUGAGGGGGAACCCACGUCAUGGGGACUGUGGGGCUGAUCCGUAAGAAAGAGGGUGUUAGAAAGAACUUACAGGAUUUGGGCUUUGGGCGGAUGUUUUUGGGAGUGUUCAAGGAAGCAGGGGUGUGCUCUGGUCUGGGUGCUGAGGCGAGGCGAGGCGAGACAGUUCUGGGAUCGGGUAGCUCCAUCAGUGUUUUCUAGAAGGAGGUGUGAAGAGCGUGACGGACGGUGUCAUUCACAAGGAAGACACUCGCUGGUAUCAGGCGGGAGAGAGGAGGAUUGGCAUUUGGGGGUGGGCACGACAAGCUGGUUUUUGUCUGUUUGGACAAAAGAGCAAGGGGUCCUCUUUGGUGUCCCUUCAUCACCGGGGCCACGGCACCUCAAGCUGCUGUUCUGCGAGGUCAUUUGCGUGCAACCGGAGAAGCACGUGGCGUCUCCUGGAGCGCCAGGCCCGCGGCGACCAGCCGUGCAGCCCGGCUCAUGGUGCCAGGCCGCCUCCUCGAUGUCAGCACUGCUCUUGCUUCUUUGCCAGUGGAGGGGGGAAGCCUUCAAAAGACAAAUAGGUGUUUGCAGGGCAGAAGAAACUAGCCUGGCCGUGGAAGCCCAGGGCUGUGUCAUCGGCACCUGACAUUGGGCCAGGGAGCGGGGAGCAAGAGAGAAUUCUGGGGAGGUUGUCAGAGAAUGACUCGUGCGAGGACCAAGGGGUCAAGUGGGGGAGCUGACGUGCUCCGGGUUUUCGGACGGUCCCCAGGAGCCCCGUGGGAGAUGCACUGCUGACAAAGAGCAGGUCUGUUCCCCUUUCCUUCCCUGUGGCCACAGCCCUGGCUCCGGUCCCUUCUCCUACCUGCUCUGUUGCAGCAGGUCCCUCUUGUUCUGCCUGCUUCUCAUCCAGCUCCCUCUCCCAUCCACGUGCUCCUGCUCUGGCCAGGGUGAUCUUCUUGGAAUCCCACAUCUUCUCCUGUUACUGCGUUCCUUGAAACCUUUUGAUUCCCCAUCAGCCACAAGGUGAGAAUCUGUACUGUGUGGCGACUCACUUUGCUUUUCCUGAUCCUCUCACGGUUCCCUGGGUCUCCCGCUGCCAACUGGAAAUCUGUAUAUCAAUGUCUCUGAAUUAUGGCAAAUCCAUUCUUUCCAAAACUUCUCAAGAUCCCCUUCCUGUAUUCUCCUCCUCGCCACCCCCAGCCCCCCCCAACUCCGUGAAUCGGGCCACUGUGUCCUUCAGUUCCCACGUGCAAAAGGGAGGAGUCCUCUUGGAACUCUGCUUUUACUUCCUUACCCCCUUGUGUGAUCAUUCUCCCAGACCUGUGAUUUUAUCUGCUAAACAUCUCUGGAAUCUACCUCCUUUUCUCCACCUCUGCUUUUGCCCUCUCAUUCCGAGUUAAGGUCAUUUGUGGUCUGCGCCAUGGUUCUAGUCUGCUUACUGAGCUUCCAGGCGCUUCUACCGCCUCCAAAUCCCUAUCUCCCCCUGAAGCCAGAGGUUUGUGGAAGGCCCAUUCGUUCAUGUCACUGCCUAGUUUCCUGGCUUCUUGUUGCCGUUCGAGAUAGACCCAAACGUUCCUUCUGUGUGUGCACGGCUGCUCCGUCCUUCUUCUCCAGUCUUGCUUCCCGCUCGCCUUCCCUGCUGUACUCGAUCCGGUCAUUCCUUCCAAUGUGCCCUGUGCCCGCCGGCCUUGGGGCGGCUCGGCUGCUCCCUCUGCCCAAGAUGCUCUUUCCCCCACCCGCCUUGCCUCACGAGCUCUCAUCUUCCCUCAGAUGACUGCAGCAGUCACUGCACAUUCUUUAUUGAACGCCUUCUCAGUUGCCAGAGGCUCGGUUCUUGUGCGCUUCCCGAUGUGACCCAGACAGACCUCGGUGGAGCUGUUAGGAAGCCUUUCUUCCAGGGAGAGAAGCAGCCAGGAAACACAGAGGCAAGGAAUCUGGCACAUCAGGGGUCCUGGAUGCUGUAGGAGCGUUGGAAGGGGUUGUCCUCUGAGCUGGGAUGGCCAGGGACGGUCCCCUGAGGACAAGAGUGGGGAAAGCCUUGCAGGAGGUUGAGGGAGUGGGCCCUGUGCAUGUCUGUGGGAACAGUGUCCCAGGCAGAGAGAAGGGCGAGUAGGAAGCCCUCCGUGGAGGGAGCUGGCCUGACUUGUUCCAGGAAUGACAAGGCCAGAGUGAGGGAGAAGGGGAAGAGUAGCAGAUAGGGUGUUAGGGACCUGGGAUGGUGGCCACUGGGGGAUUUUGAACUGAAGAAUGAGGUGACCUGACUUGGGUUUUAAUGGGAUGAGUUCAGCUUCUCUGUUGAGAACAGCGAGGGGGGAAGCAGGGCGAUGAGUUAGUAGGCUCCUGGAAUAUUCCAAGUCAGAGAUGCUGCUGGCUUGGAUCAGGAUGGUAGGGGUGGAAGUGCUGAGAAUCGAUCCAGAUUCUGGGUACGUGUUGAAGGGAGAGCUGAUGGGAUGUACUGACAGAUGGGAUGUGGGUGAGGCCGAUGAGUCCAAGAAGGUGCCCAGCCUUCUGGCUCGUGUGAGAUGCGGCUCCCUCCGGAGGCCCCUGACACCCUCGACAAGGUCCAGCCCCUUAUCUGUUCUCUGUGCAUCUCCUCUGGGGCAGUCAGUCCCGUUGCUCCGCAGACAUCUCGUUUAAUGUUUGUCUGCCCCGUGGGAAUAGCGGUGCCGAGAGGGACCAUGUGUGUCUCAGUGCCAUGAGCCUUGUAGACCCCUAGUAAGUAUUUCUGAGCCGGCCGAGUGAUGAGGAACUGAAUGGAGAUGCUCAUGGUUCUCUUUCCUGAUGAGGGCUCCCAAUUCCCAUGUUCUGUUUCCCUGGUUUUGAGUGGUCUGUGUGUUUUAGAAACCAGGCCAGGGGCUGUAAGACGGAAAUGGUAUUGUGAGAAUUGCAGAAGUUUCUCUGAUGUCAGCCGCGUCGAAAAACGUCGCCCUCGACGUGCAAGUGGGUCAGAGGAUCACCUCUUGGGAGAGGCAGCAUUUUCUGGAGGGCCUAGGCCUUGCAGCUCACUGAUGGCAUCUUCCCGGCUCUGUCCAGAGUGCAGGGCUGGGAUUUUGAUCUGAAAUAUUCUGAAGGUGGGGGCUGCUGCUUUUCCUCCCCAGAGAAGACAUGUCACUUGCGGAUGAGAAUAUUCUGGUAAGGAUAAAUUAGCUGCCAAAUUUGCCCAUCAAGAAAGUCGAAUAAAUAAUGGCUUUACUGGAUUUGCGCUGCCUCCCCCCCAUUUUUUCCAAAAGGGAACAAAUUAAUUUUUGAAAAGAUCUGUGAAAAACAGUGGUCUCAGAUCUAGAAUACGAAUUAUUUUUCUUUUAUGGUUAAUUUUUUUUAAGGUUUUAUUUUUAAGGGAUCUCUCUGUACCUAACUUGGGGCUAGAGCUCAUAACACCCAGAUCAAGAGUCACAUGCUCUUCCAACUGAGCCAGCAAGGUGCCCCUUCAGGGUUAACUUUUUAAAUGACAAAAGUGAAUACAUAUCCCCCACUCAGCCUCAUUUGAAUAUAGUGUGCCUACAGGUUUUCAUGCCUACAGUUUUUUAAUGUCUGAAUGUUUUUCCACAGUGGGGUUGUACUUUACGUGACGAUUCUGUUUGUUAUUUGGGUGGCUAUGAUUUUGCUAUUAAGAUAGGGCUGUGAUGAACAUCUUUGCAUGUGUGUUUGAGUUUUCCCUCGAGAUAGAUUUCAGGGUAAAAACUUCUGCAAAAUGAUCCUCAGGAGUGGUUAUGUCAUUUUUGGUUCUCACCCAUGGUAAAUGAGAUGCUAAUCACAGAGUAUUUCUCAGUCUUUUAAAUUUUUUGUCAAGUGGCAGGGGAAAAAUAAUGCCUGUUUUCAAUUUUUAUCUCUCUCUCUAUCUAUAAAUGUAUGUUUUAUAUUUAAAUUUAAAUACGUAUUUAUUUUAUAUAUAUUUGAAUUUAUAGAUGUAGCUCUAUGUAUUUAUACACAUACAAACAUAUUUCUAAAGAUUUAUUUGAGAGCGAACACGGGGGAAGGGCAGACGGAGACGGAGAGAGAGAAUCUCAAGCCGAUUGCCCACUGAGUGCAGAGCCUGAAUGGGGCUGGAUCCCACAACCCUAAGACCAUGAUCUGAGCCCAGAUCAAGAGUCAGAUGCUUAACCGAUUGAGCCAGCCAAGUGCCCCUUACAUUUAUAUUUUUAUAAUCACCUGUAAUACUGAGCAAUUUUAGUUGGUCCCUGUCACUGAUACUUUUUUCACGGAUACUUUUUUACAUGAAUCCUCGCUCGUUAUCAUUUUCCUGCUGGGUUGUUGUCUUUUUGUUUGGGUAUUUAUAUUUUUCUUAUUGAUUUGUAGGAACUUUUUAUAGGUCGGAUAGUAGUCCUUUGCCUCUGUACUCGUUGCAGUAUUUUCUCCCAAACGAUUGUCUUUCGGUUUCGCUUGUACCAUACAUUUCAGGAUACAUUUCAUUCUGAAUCUCUGUGGUGCCCAAUCUCAUAGUCUAACUUUAUAGCUUGUGGCUUUGGAUAGUGCUUCAAAAGACCAUUUUCAAUCGCUGCAUUUUCUUUUAGCACUUUUAGGGUUUGGGCUUCUGUUGCUUAGACCAUUCAUCUGUCUUUAUUAUUUUGUAUGUUACAAGGUAGCACUUUUGUCCCUACACCAUCUAGUGAUGGUCUGUAUCCCCCAUGGAUUUGAAAGAGCCCUUAAAUGCUAAAUUUUUAUAUAUACUUUGACACAGACAUGGGUAUAUCGUUCUUCACUUCCAGUUGGAAUUGCUUUUUUCCUUUUGAUGCCUGAACAUUUUGCCUUGCGAUAUAACUUAGUUGUGAAUUGAUUGAGAGCGCCUAUAGCUUGCUUCUAGAGUAAGAAUAGGUUUGUACCGCUGAAUAGCACCCUUUUCUUAGUUCAUUUGAGCAGCUGUACUCUAGGAAGGAAGAAAAGAAAGGGACCCUGACAAAAAACAUGUGUCUAAGCCUGUGAAAGCAAUAGCUUUUUAGGUAGUCCUGCCAUGUAGACUUCAACAUACGUGUCAUUGGCUGGAAGUCGUCAUGUGGCCCUACCCCUAGCUGCAGGGACGUGGCGGGGGGGAGAAUUUCUCACAGGGCAGAUUAAUACCUCGAACAAAAUUGGGGCCCUCUUCGUAAGGAAGCAGGCGUAAGUGGAUAUUGAAAGGGGAACUCGGAUUGGGGCACCUGGGUGGCUCUGUUGUUAAGCCUCUGCUUUCGGCUCAGGUCGUGAUCCCAGGGUCCUGGGAUCGAGCCCCGCAUCGGGCUCCCUGCUCAGCGGGAAGCCUGCUUCUCCCUCUCCCACUGCCCCUGCUGUGUUCCCUCUCUAGCUGUCUCUCUCUCUCUGUCAAGUAAAUAAAUAAAAUCUUUAAAAAAAAAAAAAGAAAGAAAGAAAGAAAGGGGAACUUGGUGGGUCAGCUCCAUCUCUCAUCUUUUUUUCUUUCCUUUAGAAUUUCCCCAGGUAGGGGUGCCUGGGUGGUUCAGUCAGGUUGAACAUCUGACUGUUGAUCUCAGCUCAGGUCUCGAUCUCAGGGUUGUGAGUUCAAGCUCCACAUUGGGCUCCGUGCUGGGUGUGUUGCCUAUUUAAAAAAAGAAACAAAGACAAGAAUCUCCCCAGGUAUUCUUCAGUGACAGAGGUGGGACGGCAGGGGAGAAAAGGAGAUAAUUUGUAAAAUAAAAUGCUCAGGUCUCAUUGUUCAGCUUGAUGAGCAUUAAGAAAUGUAUACAGUUGACUCUUGAACAACAUGGGUUGGAAUUGCAUGGGUCCACUUAUAGGCAGAUUUUUCGAUAAAUAGAAUACAGUACUGUAAACAUAUUUUCUGUAUGAUUUUCUGAAUAUGUUCUUUAGUGUACUUUAUUGAAGGAAUACAAUGUAUAAUAAAUGUAACAUACAAAAUCUAUGUUAAUCAACCGUUUAUGUUAUCAGUAACGCUUCUGGUCGUCAGUAGGCAAUUAGCAGGGAAGUUUUUGGGGAGUAAAAGUUAAAUGACAAUUUCGGACUGCACAGGGGUCAGCGCCCCUAACCCCUGGGUUGAUCAAGGGCCAACUGUAUAUCUGUGCACCAUCCCCGAAAACUGUAUCUGAAACUCCAGAAGUUUCCUUUGUAUGUCUUUCUAGUUAAUCUCCUUACCUCCAGUGGUCAUUUUCUGAUUUCAGGAUCUAUGAUAGAGUAUAAUUGCCUUUUCUUGUACGUCGUGUAAAUGGAAUCAAGCAGUAUGUAUCGUUUUGUCUUCUUUCACUCAGUGUGUUCUUUGCGAUUUAUCCAUGUUGUGUGCACUUAUCCAAGAUACACAAAGCCAGAUCCUACUACUUUAAGUGGUAAGGACAGAUUUUAAUCAGCAAUGACUAUUGUAGUCAGGAAAAGAGUCCAGCUUGAAUGAAACUCAACCUUGAUUUGUACAGAGGGUAUUUUAUGUUUUAAAGAUUUUAUUUAUUUUUUGACACAGAGAGAGAGACAGCUAGAGAGGGAACACAAGCAGGGGGAGUGGGAGGAGGGAGAAGCAGGCUCCCUGCUCUGCAGGGAGCCCGAUGUGGGGCUCAAUCCCAGGACCCUGGGAUCGUGACGUGAGCCAAAGGCGGAGGCUGAACAACUGAGCCACCCAGGCACCCCACCGAGGGCAUUAUAAAGAGAGGAUGAGGGAGUCAUGCCAGAGGUGAAUUAAAUCAGAGAAGUAAAAGAUUACAAAAAGUGGGAAACGUGAAACCCCCUGGAUUUACUCACUGGGAGACAGAGGCCAGACUUUUCAUUGUUGGCUGAACAAACCAUGGAUGCCUUGAGUUUUCUCAGUAGGGACUAAGGGUGACUGGAGUCACCCUAGGGGUGGGGUCUUGAGCUGUUGUUAGGAAGUAUGUUAGUGUUUGGGCGAGUCUGCAUAUGAUAAGCCAAGGUUGAGGCCCCUUUGAGAAGAGGGCUCAGAGGAGUCAGGCUAGCGUUUGCUUAAGGAGAGAGUCUUUGUGAGUGUAAAAUGGUGUGGUCCUUUGUAUGUAGUGUGCAUAUACCACAAUUUUUUCAUCUGUUCAUCUGAUGAUCAGGCAUGUUGUUGUAUCCAAUUUUUUGGUCAUUGUGAAUAGGCUACAAUAAACAUUCUUAGAGCAGUCUUAAAUUUCUCUUGAAAUUGCUUAGUGGAAUUGCUUAGUCACAGCGAAGGGAUAUAUUGAACUGCUAGACUAAUUUCCAAAGUGGUUUAUCAGUUUACACUUCCCACCAGCAAUACAGUAACACUCCAGUUGCUCAGCAUCCUCGUGAACAUUCUGUGUUGUCAGUGAGGGUGAAAUAGCAUCUCAUUAUGGUUUCACAUUGCAUUUCCCUGGUGAAGCAUGAUCUUAGGCACCUUUUCGUGUGUUUCUUGGGCAUUCCGACAUCUUUUGUGACCUGUCGAACGUUCAAGUCUUCUGCCCGUUUUUGUUGUUAAUGUUGUUUUUGGUUUUGACUUAUUGGAGUUUAUUAUAUAUUCUGAAUAGGAAUUCUUUGUCAUACAGAUGUAUUUUAAAAAUACAUGUAUAGGAAAAUAAAAAUUUUAAAUACUUAGAGUAGCAUCAAAGCACGUAAACUGGUUGGGGUGACUGGCUGGCCCAGUUGAUGAAUCAUCUGUGUUUUGAUCUCAGCUCAGGUCUUAAACUCAGGGUUGUGAGUUCAAGCCCUGCACUGGGCUCCAUGCUGGGUGUGGAGCCUACUUACACAACAAAAACAACAACCAAAACAACCCCAAACUGGCUGGGAAUAAGUCUCAUGAAAGACAUGAAACACCUUUACACAGAAAAGUAAAAAACUUUGUUGAGAGGAAUUCAAGAAGACUGAAAUAAAUGGGAGCUCUGUUUUGUUCAUACAUCGGGGAAGAUUUGAUGUCCUGGAGAUUUCUGUUCUCCACGCCUUGAUUCAUGCAAACAGUGCAAUCCCAGUUAAAUCCUAGCCAUGUUUUUUAGAAGAAAUGAACAAGUUGAUUCUAAAAUGUAUAUGGAAAUGCAAAGGGUCUGGAAUAGCCAAAAAAGUCUUCAAAAGAAGAACACAGUUGAUGAACUUACACUGCUUCUUCUUGCUUAAUUUUAAGACUUAGAGCAAAGCCACAGUAAUCCAAGUCUUUGACACAAAGAGAGAUCAAUGAGCAGAGCAGAGAGUCCAAAAAAUAGACCAAACGCAAGUACUGUCGACUGAUUUUUGCCCAGAGUGUCCAGUCAGUUCAGUGGUGGAAAGGGAAGUCUUUUUAAUGAAUAAUUCUGUGUGACCUGGACAUUCAGGCGGAAAGAAAACGGACCUUGACCCCUCCCUCAUUCUGACAUACACACAUUAAUUUGGGAUGAAUCAUAAGCCUAAAUAUGAAAGCGAGAACCAGCGGCGCCUGGGUGGCUCAGUCGCUUGAGUCCGACUCUUGAUUUUGGCUGAGGUCAUGAUCUCGGGGUCAUGAGAUUGAGCUCCGUGUGAACCCUGUGUCAGGCUCCACGCUAAGCGAGGAGUCAGCUUGAGAUUCUUUCCCUCUCCUGCUCCCCCCUGGGCGCGCUCUCUCUCAAAUAAAUAAAUCUUAAAAAAGGAAAAAGCUAGAACCGUAAAACUUUUGUAUGAAAACAUGGGAAAAUGUCUUGACAACCUUGAGGUAGACAAAUGUUUUGUAUGCAGAACACAAAAAGUUCUAAUUAGAAAGGAAAAAUAGAUACACUAAGAGAACGAAGAGGCAAGACAGACUGGGAGAAAAUAUUCAGAAUACGUGUUCUUAAAUGUUUUAUUUUUUCCAAAAGUACUUUAGCAUUAUUCAGAUCCAUGGUAUCUUAUUAGUGUAUUCUUUAUUAACUGUUUUUUUCUUUUUUCUUUUUUGUUUAAGUCAGAUAUGAGACAUUGUACCGUGGGAAAUUUCUGAUUGGCUUCUCCUCCUUAUUCACCCUCUGGUCAAUGUUGGUUCCUUUUCCGUUCAUGUCUUGCCCAGUGUUCAGGGACUCCUUGCAGUAGAGACAGUAGAUUUUAGAUCCUAUUGAUCCUUGUGAAGUAACUGGCAAUUCGAUGAAGCCAGAAAGCAAUAGCAGUAGCUUCCUUUGGGAGGAAAUGAUAGCCUGUGAGUCUUAGUCAAUUGAGGCCCAGUGUUGUUUUUUGUUUUUUUGUUUUAAGAUUUUAUUUAUUUAUUUAUUUAUUUAUUUAUUUAUUUAUUUAUUUAUUUAUUUGAGAGAGCGAGACAGAGUGGAGGGGGGCAGGGGGAGAGGGACAAGCAGAAUCUGCACUGAGCGUGGAGCCUGAACACGGGGUUCGAUCUCAGGAACCUGAGGUCAUGACCUGAGCCGAAUCAAGCGUCAGACACUUAAACGCCUGAGCCGCCUAGGCACCCCUGUUUUUCGUGUUUUUUUGUCUUUUGUUUUUGUUUUGUUUUUCUUAGGUGAUUAAACACUUAAGGCCUUGCGGAUCUGCUGAGGAAAGCAACAGCGCUCACAAGAAGGGAAACAAACUCAAAGUCUGUGUAGGUACAAAGUCUGUUGCGCGUAAGACUUUGCUUCCUGCCUUCCAUUUAUAAGCAAGAAUAAACGCAACAGGAAAUAGGAACCCAAAACUGAGACUAGAGGACGUAAAAGAACAACAAUAAAAUUAAAAAUGAGAGGUAGAGCAUAUCUUCAAGGCCCGUAUGCAGCAUGCAGUUAAAAUUCCCAACUUGAAAACCGAUGCUGAGAGUAUUGGAUUGAGUCUUGCAAUUGCAGAUAUAUACAUUGUAGGUACAUAUAUAUGUACAUACAGGGCACCGCAUAUCUAUCUAUCUAUCUAUCUAUCUAUCUAUCUAUCUAUCUAUCUAUCUAUCUAUCUAUCUAUCUAUCUACAUGCACUGUGUAUCCCUACAGAAGCAGACACACAUACACACCGACACCAUAUCAGCAACUGAAGUGUUGGGGGAGGGAUGGAAGUCCAAGUGGGUAAGUAGGUUUGCAAAGCAAUGGAAUUAAGUUUCCUCCGAGGUUGCACAGCUUGAGGAAACAACCUCGACCUCUGUCUGUAAGCGGUGCCUUCCACAGAGGGUGCUUCUGAGGGCUGUACGUGUUCCUGUUUGUCCAGCGUGUGGAAUAAUGCCUGGCAUUGUAGCCAGCACUCAUGAGUGUUGAUGAGAAGUGAAAUGAAGCAGCCCCAGCCUGGACCCUCACUGGCUGGAAGAGCGGGGAGGGCCCCUUCCCAUUCCCUCUGAUGGAGAAAUAUCCGGUGGAGGGCAUGUCACACCUUUCCUAGCAAGUUCCCACCGUUGCAGGGGACGCUCCUGCCGAAGGGGCCAAGUCAUUCAGUGCUUCUUGAAUGAACUGGUGGCUGCAGCAGAUCAGUGUUUCCCACGGGAGGAAUGGGAGAUGACUUGAGGUGGCACCCAGAUAGAAGUUUUACAUUUUAAUAGGUAUUUAUUACAGGGUGUGUUAGAAGAAAAUAUUAGGUAGCACGUCAGACCUGGGUACUAAAAAGAAGUGAAAAUUGCAGGGAACACUGGAUUGAAUAAACCCUGAGAAAAGGUCUUUCUAAAUAUGGGAUCUUUUUUUUCCUUCUUUAAAGAUUUUAUUUCUUUAUUUUGACAGAGACAGUGAGAGCGGGAACACAAGCAGGGGGAGUGGGAGAGGGAGAAGCAGGCUUCCCGCUGAGCGGGGAGCCCGACGCGGGCCUCGAUCCCAGGACCCUGGGAUCAUGACCUGAGUCGAAGGCAGACACUUAACGACUAAGCCACCCAGGCGCCCCUAAAUAUGACAUCUUAAGUCAAGCAGAGAAAGUCACUUAUCAUAUGGUUUUACUUACUUGUGGAACAUAAGGAAUUGCGUGGACGACUUUAGGAGAAGGAAGGGAAAAAUGAAGGGGGCGAGAUCGGAGGGGGAGACUAACCAUGAGAGACUAUGGACUCUGAGAAGCAAACAGAGGGUGUUAGAGGGGAGGGAUGUGGGGCGAUGCGUUAGCCCGGUGAUGGGUAUUAAGGAGGGCACGUAUUGCAUGGAGCCCUGGGUGUUAUACGCAAACAAUGAAUCAUGGAACAACUACAUGAAAAACUAACCGAUGUACUGUAUGGUGACCAGCAUAGCACAAUAAAGAAAAAAUAAAUAAAGAGAUCUUUCAUUCUUUGGGUUUUAUUUUAUCUAUUUAUUUGUUUAACUUUUUGAGAGCGAGAACACAUGUGAACGGUGGUAGGGAGGGGAGGGGAGGGGAGAGAGAAAGAUCCCAAGCAGGCUGCACGCCCAGUGCGGAGCCAGACGUGGGGCUCCAUGUCAAGACUCUGAGAUCACAACCUGAGCCUCAGCCAGGACUCGGUUGCCCAACAGACUGCGCCACCCAGGCGCCCAGAUUCACUCUUGAUGUGUCCUGCAGUCACUGUGCACCAUGUUGGAGUUGUCAUUAUCUGUGCACGUGGACGUGCUCGGUCUUCCUCGUGGCGUGGCUGGACCGCUGCACCUGCAGCCCCUGGCUGCUUCGGUCCACGUACCAUUUAAGGGCCAUUUGAAGAAGGAGCGCAAAUCCCGAUUGCUAUUCCAGAACCAUCCGUUGAGACCUUCUGACGAGAUCAAGAAAGACAGAGGAACACAGCCUACACCUGGAGGGUCGGGAGCUUGGAAAGCAAUCUCAGAGCCGGUGAUGGCGAUCUCUUCAGAAACUCAGCCUCGCCAGUGCCCUUGGCGGCUCGAAGGUCAGUGUUGUGUGGCAACUCACAGAUCUCCUGAAAGGGAAGACUUGACCAACUCAUGUCACUCAUCCUUUCCCUUUUGUUCUGUCCCAAAAGUCUAAAAGGGCUUUUUCAUAAACAUGAAAUGAGAAUUGUAAGCAAUAAGAAAGACAUGGACUAACUGGCAGUGUUUCUUUUUUCUUUUUUCAGUCUUACAAUUGAUGGUGUCUUAGAAUGAAAUAUGGCCUAUGGUUAGUUUAGAAAAAUUAUAAAACAGAGAGAAAUGAAAACACAUACAGCCCAGAAAUCUCUGAGCUUUCACCUGUUUCUCUGCUGUUCUUCAACCUCCCUGUAUACCUUCUGCUACUGGAACAUUCCGAGGCGCUUCCUGCCCCCAUGCUGUUGUCCUUCAUCUGGCAUAAGCUCUGACUUCUCUGUGUCUCUGUCGCUGUGUCUUCCCGGGUUCCCCACUGUAUCCCCAGUGCCUGGCACUUAGCAGACACUCAACAAGUAUUGCUUGACUGGAUCAAGAGUGUUAAACUGAGGGCGAGCACAGAAGCUGCUCCUUGUCAUCCAGGAGAGGGCAGUAGGAAGGACAGGGAGGAGCUCCUAGAGGAAGGCGGCUUGGUCAGCUUUUCAGCAGGUAGAGCUGCUCAGCGGGGGAGCGAGUGCCUCCGUGGUGGGGCGUGCUCAGGCAGUAGCUCGGUGUUGUUGAAGGGUGCUUGCCCUGCAUGUCAGGGUCGACCAGGUCAUUUGGAAGGCCCCUUCCAACCAGACAUCCAUGUUUGCGGACUCUUCUCCCGGGUCUGUGGUUCUUUCUCGACUGCAGAUAGGGCUUUUACCACUGGAUGGCACCAGAUGAAGGCUGUGAGGACAGUGCUCAUCCAACCACCCACAGUGAGAACACAGUUUUUUCUCUUUUCAUUAUGGAAGUUUCGUUGAUCUGUACAAUGUUAUGUCAGUUUCAGGUGUGCAGCAUCGUGAUUCGACAAGUUUGUUCAUUACUCAGCACUCACCACGAUUAAGUAUAGUCACCAUCUGUCACGGUACAGUUGUUAUGACAAUAUUCUUGGACUAUAUUCCGGAUGUUGUACUUUUCAUCUUUGUGAGUUAUUUAUAUAAGUGGAAGCUUGUAACUCUGAAUUCCUUUGACCAAUUUCGCCCCCCCCCUUUCCGUCUGGCAACCAUCAGUUUGCUCUCGGUGUUUAAGGGUCUAUUUUUUUUGUUGGUGUAGAGAACAGAUUUUUCAUGGCACUUAUACCCCAAACACACACUUCAACAACUUCACAGAAACAGUCUUUAACUCGUACAGUAUGUAACGCAUACUGAUUUUUUCUAGUUUACUCUAGCUGACUGCAUUUUCUAAGACGGGGAUUUGCAAACUAUUACACUGAUUUUAUGACACGGAUGGGUCACAAUCCACUGUUUGAAAAGCACUGUUUUAGACAACGCAGCCUGUUCAGCCUUGUAAAACUCUGUGGGUCAGUUUUCCUUGACAGUCUGGGCUGUAGCAAGUUGUGUCCCUUAGUGAGUACUUGGUGUGUUUCUGUGUUGAGCUGCUGCCUUGAGCAGCAGUAGGUAUGUGCUUCCUUAUGGGUGUCUGUGGAUGUGGGAAUAUGGACGUGGGAGAUGGCGGGGGGCGUGUUUGUACAGGAUUAGCACCUACUGUAGUCCAGGCAGCGGUAAGCCUUGUCAGUGGAUAUGAAGAGAAGAUAUAUUAUCUGUCUGCUUCUGGGAGCUCAGAACCCAGCUGGGUGACAUCACAUACACAUACACACACACACACGAGCGUGCACACCCCCCCCCACACCCCCUACCCCUUUCAGCUUACUCAUCAAGCAAAUGGAAAUGAACUGAUGCGCUCAGAAUACCACUUAGGACAUUUCAGGGUGUAACAGAAGACCAACUCCAUUUGGUUUAUUUAUUACUUUUUUUAAUGUAAAUUCAAUUAGCCAACUUACAGUACAUCAUUAGAUUCAGAUGUCGUGUUCAGUAGUUUGUCAGUUUCAUAUAACACCCAGUGCUCAUCACAUCACAUGCCCUCCUUAGUGCCCAUCACCGAAUUACUCCAUCCCCCCACCCACCACCCCUCCAGCAACCCUCCCGUUUGUUUGCUAGAGUUAAGAGUCUCUUACGGUUUUUCUCCAUCGCUGAUGACUUCCCAUUCUGUUUUCCUUCCCUUCCCCUACAGUCCUCUGCCCUGUUUCUUAUAUUGCACAUAUGAGUGAAACCAUUUGAUAUUUGACUUUCUCGGAUUGACUUAUUUCGCUCAGCAUAAUACCCUCCAGUUCCAUCCGUGUGCAUGUAAAUGGAAUAGAAGGAGGAAUUCACAACAAAAGAAAGAACCGGAGGAUGUACUCUCUGCCAUAGAUCUAAUUGAUAUGGACACAAUUGAGCUGAGCCUAAACCAAGAGUUGGCCGUUCAACUGACUGAGCCACCCAGCUGCCCCUCCAUUUGGUUGAAAUGGUAAAGACAUUUAUUAAUUCACAUGAGGGGCAUUUAUUAAUUCACAUUAUCCGAUGAGGGGCAGAGCAGGCUAUAGGCCCACAGGGGCUUCGCAUGGUUUUAGGGAUGCAGUGUCCUUCCAGUACUUCUCCUUGUCCUAAGGCUGGUUCCCUCAACGGUUGUCAGAAGCCCUUCAGUGGUAAUCUGGGCUUCAGCUCCCUGGUUUAGAACACUGAAAGUUUGGUUCCUUGUAGUGUAGACCGGGGAGAGUUUAGGCUACCAUAGCAUUUUCCAGGUUAUAGUGUAGACCAGAAAGUGAAGGCUACUAUAACAUUUUCUAGGUUGUGGCUGUUGUGUUUCUUUGUUCCUGGUUUUCCCACUAGGACUUGCUUAAAGGGUGUGGAAGGACCGGUUCCUAAUCCAGAGCCGGGGGAAAUACUUAGGUAGUCGUUCGUGAGUUUUCCGGAACGAUCCUGGAUCUCCUUUCCUAUGGACACAGAACUUCCGGUCGAGCAGAGUUCUCUGACUGGCUCUCACCCGUGGGUUUGCUGAGGGAAUAAGUGGUGGCAGGUUUUCUAGGUGAGGGAUGAGGUGAGGUUCUGUGCUGUCUAGGGUCUUGGGGAAGGAGGUAGGCGCACGAGUAAAGAAAGGGAAGAAAUGGCUGCCGUGGGGACGGUGACGGGCCAUGUGUGCGAGCACCAAGACGGAUGGCUGAGUCUGCCGACAUUUGUAAUGGAGUACCAGACGUGCCUCUGUUGGCCUUUUGAGGUAGAUGAGCUUUUAGGGAUUCACUCUUCAAAAGAGGGAGUUCCAGUGUUCAUUCUCUCCAGUGGCGAAUGGAAGUGCUCAUUUCCCAACAUCCUCACCAGCACGGUGUAUUAGAAACCUUUUCAUCGUGGUUAAUCUGAUAUGUGAAAGAUGGUGUCUUCAGUAAUGUUACUGUAUAAUUUUUUUUACCGAUUUUCUUUCUUUAUUUGACAGAGAGAGACACAGUGAGAGAUGGAACACAAGCAGGCUUCCCGAGGAGCAGGGAGCCCGAAGUGGGGCUCGAACCCAGGACCCUGGGAUCAUGACCUGAGCCAAAGGCAGAGGCUUAACGACUGAGCCACCCGGGUGCCCCCGUCAUUUUAUUUUAUAUUCCUCUUAUUUUGGGGGGUGAAGUUGAAGAUCGUUUUUAUAUGUUUAAGAGCCAUUUAUAUUAUCUUUUACAGUGAACUGUCUGGUCAAGUAAGGAAUUCCUUUCUUGACCUUAGUAAAAUGAUAGUAACACUGUUAGGCUCUGAAGUCCUUUCUAUCAAGGCAGUGAAGGGAUUUGAGAUGGGAGGGUGACUUAGUCAGAUUGAGAAAGUGACCAAAUGACCACAGUCCUUGGGCAUGCAGGGAAUCCUCACCCUAAAGAUGGAGCCUAUGGGUAGAUUCUGUAAGAAAUGGAAAGAAAGUGCAAAGUGGUGGUUCCUGAGAAUAAGGACAUGGACCUUACUUGGAGCUGAGGGUGAACCCAGGCAUCAGGGAGAUGGGGCCAGGCCUGGCUAAGAGGCCUGAAAUCCUCUCUCCCAGGCUCCUGAGGCAGCUUUCCUAACCAGGGCUACAGAGGUGGGAACCCAAGUUGGGGCCCUGGGAGCUAGACGCCCCAGGCAGGGUGUCAGCCGGCCUUCCUUCCUUCUUCCUCUGCAUGGGCUGGCAUCUCCAGACCGGACCCCCUAGGAGAGGGCUUCCCAGGCAACAUGUGGAUGAAGAUCUUCUCCCAGGUAAGUAUUCUGAGGUCGACUUUCCAAUGAUAGUCACGAGAAAGCCGCACAGCACCACCGAACCUCACUGUGGGGUUGCUCACAAGGUCCUCGAUCUUGGGACGAGCACGUGGCCCUGCAAUGCUCUAUGAAUGGAGAACACACAGGAUGGACGUGCCAUGCACACACGUGCUUUGGUCAGACUGAACUCCCCUUUUGACCCCACUAUUGGGGAAAAAAAGAAGCAAAAGCUGUGGAAAACUCACACUUUCAUAUGUCUGCCAGCCUAAAGAGUAGGUCCAGUACAGCCACCUGCCCCAAAGACGUUGAAAGAUGUGCCCCAGAUAACGGGGCACAUGACAGUCACCUGCAGGAGCUCUCAGAACCACCCGUCGUUCCUGUUGCAGCAGCCUGAUGGUCUACCAAUUCCGGUCUGUUCUGUCAUUUCAUAAUCGAUCAUGUUUCCUGUCAAGCAUUAAAGCAGCCCCAAAGAAACCUGGAGAAGAAUCGGCUCCCAAAUCCAAAGGGAGAAAGGCUUUUUCAAAAGCUAUUCAAAAUUAAACUAAAAGUCGUCCCAA